GAGUUUGAUCAUGGCUCAGAUUGAACGCUGGCGGAAUGCUUUACACAUGCAAGUCGAGCGGCAGCGCGGGGCAACCUGGCGGCGAGCGGCGAACGGGUGAGUAAUGCAUCGGAACAUGUCCAUUGAUGGGGGAUAGCCCGGCGAAAGCCGGAUUAAUACCGCAUGAGCCCGAGAGGGGAAAGUGGGGGACCGCAAGGCCUCACGUCGAUGGGUUGGCCGAUGUCCGAUUAGCUAGUUGGUGGGGUAAAGGCCCACCAAGGCGAUGAUCGGUAGCUGGUCUGAGAGGAUGAUCAGCCACACUGGGACUGAGACACGGCCCAGACUCCUACGGGAGGCAGCAGUGGGGAAUUUUGGACAAUGGGGGCAACCCUGAUCCAGCCAUUCCGCGUGAGUGAAGAAGGCC
rnacentral:rRNA from 1 species